GCAGGUGGUUUGUUAAGUCAGAUGUGAAAGCCCGGGGCUCAACCUCGGAAUAGCAUUUGAAACUGGCAGACUAGAGUACUGUAGAGGGGGGUAGGAAUUUCAGGUGUAGCGGUGAAAUGCGUAGAGAUCUGAAGGAAUACCGGUGGCGAAGGCGGCCCCCUGGACAGAUACUGACACUCAGAUGCGAAAGCGUGGGGAGCAAACAGGAUUAGAUACCCUGGUAG
rnacentral:rRNA from 1 species